CCUACGGGUGGCAGCAGUGAGGAAUAUUGGUCAAUGGACGAGAGUCUGAUGGAGCAACGCCGCGUGGGUGAAGAAGGUCUUCGGAUCGUAAAACCCUGUUGUUAGAGAAGAAAGUGCGUGAGAGUAACUGUUCACGUUUCGACGGUAUCUAACCAGAAAGCCACGGCUAACUACGUGCCAGCAGCCGCGGUAAUACGUAGGAUGCGAGCGUUAUCCGGAUUUAUUGGGUUUAAAGGGUGCGCAGGCGGAGGUGCAAGUCAGCGGUAAAAUUGCGGGGCUCAACCCCGUACUGCCGUUGAAACUGCAUCCCUUGAGUGCGCGAGAAGUAUGCGGAAUGCGUGGUGUAGCGGUGAAAUGCAUAGAUAUCACGCAGAACUCCGAUUGCGAAGGCAGCAUACCGGCGCGCAACUGACGCUCAUGCACGAAAGCGUGGGUAUCGAACAGGAUUAGAUACCCUUGUAGUC
rnacentral:rRNA from 1 species